CUCAAUGCAAAUUGCUUAUCAAGCAAAGCAACGCAAAGUUCACAAGGAACUAAUAGCAACUAAAGUACCUGAAAUCAGUCAAACACAAUUAGUAUACCAGACACAAAGUUAAAACAAACAGCAUAAGCCAAUAGACAAUACAGUCAAGCAUAUGUGCAAAGCACAAGCUCAUAACAAGUGAGCUAAGAAACCUACAAAAC
rnacentral:lncRNA from 1 species